UAGUCUCGCACAGAUGCAUAUCAAUAAGCGGAGGAAAAGAAACUAACAAGGAUUCCCUCAGUAACGGCGAGUGAAGCGGGAAGAGCUCAAAUUUGAAAUCUUGAAAGGUCACCUUUCACGAAUUGUAGUUUAAAGAAGUGUUUUCUGUUACGAUCGUAAUAUAAGUUCUUUGGAAUAGGACAUCACAGAGGGUGAGAAUCCCGUCUAUGAUUGCGAUUUGUAGCUUUGUGAUACACUUUCAAAGAGUCGGGUUGUUUGGGAAUGCAGCCCAAAACGGGAGGUAAAUUUCUUCUAAGGCUAAAUAUUGGCGAGAGACCGAUAGCGAACAAGUACCGUGAGGGAAAGAUGAAAAGAACUUUGAAAAGAGAGUUAAAUAGUACGUGAAAUUGUCAAAAGGGAAGCGUUUGACACCAGUGUUGUUUUCUCGAAAAUCAAUUAAAAAUGGCUCGAUUUUGUAUUGCUGAGACCUUAAAAGCUCACUGUACAUUUUUCGUGUCUUUUUUAAUGCACUUUUCGUUUAACAAGUCAACAUCAGUUUCUUUUGUUGUAAAAGGGUCAUUGGAAGGUGGCUUUCUUUUCGGAGAAAGUGUUUAUAGCCUUUGGCCUCUGCAAUCGGAGAGACUGAGGUCUGCAGCGUAGACUCUUCGGGGUUAGAUACAUUUGUGCUAAGUUAUAGCUUUUUAUAGACAACUUGUUGACUAUAAUUAGUCUUGUAGCUUACUCGCUUAUGCUAUUUUACCUACGCUUAGGAUGUUGAGUCGUAGAGCACGCAG
rnacentral:rRNA from 1 species